UGAUGUAGACUCUGACUGUGCCGGAGACUCUAUUGAGGAGCGUUGUUGCAGCAAUAUUGGAACCUGCCAUGAUAAGAGGGGACUGGACGAGUCUUGUAACUUUGUUAGUAUCCAUGGAUGUGGGUGCAAAGAUGGUCUGUCAUGCCAGGCUGUCUAUUCGGUAGGCUCUCUAGGCGUUUAUUAUCGCUGCCGACCAAUUCCCACUGAGGCCCCAGGCUCCGGUGAUUUCUGAGGCAAUAUCAAUAGCUGUGCCACCAUGAGAUAUACAUUAUAUCAAUUUGCUAAUAACUGACGUUGAAAUAAAUAUUCGAAAAACUUUCUUUGACUGAGAA